rnacentral:rRNA from 1 species
AUUGAACGCUGGCGGAAUGCUUUACACAUGCAAGUCGAACGGCAGCACGGGGCAACCUGGUGGCGAGUGGCGAACGGGUGAGUAAUAUAUCGGAACGUGCCCAAUCGUGGGGGAUAACGUAGCGAAAGUUACGCUAAUACCGCAUACGAUCUACGGAUGAAAGCGGGGGAUCGCAAGACCUCGCGCGAAUGGAGCGGCCGAUAUCAGAUUAGGUAGUUGGUGGGGUAAAGGCUCACCAAGCCAACGAUCUGUAGCUGGUCUGAGAGGACGACCAGCCACACUGGAACUGAGACACGGUCCAGACUCCUACGGGAGGCAGCAGUGGGGAAUUUUGGACAAUGGGCGCAAGCCUGAUCCAGCCAUUCCGCGUGCAGGAUGAAGGCCUUCGGGUUGUAAACUGCUUUGUACGGAACGAAACGGUCUGCCCUAAUACGGCGGGCUAAUGACGGUACCGUAAGAAUAAGCACCGGCUAACUACGUGCCAGCAGCCGCGGUAAAGUACC